ACUAGAGUUCUCACCUGGUUUCCCACUGAAGAUAAGCAGGGCUGAGCCUGGCCAGUACCUGGAUGGUAGACCUCCUGCGGAAAGCUAAGGUCACUGCUGGAA
rnacentral:rRNA from 1 species